GGACCCGCACAAGCGGUGGAGCAUGUGGUUUAAUUCGAAGCAACGCGAAGAACCUUACCAGGUCUUGACAUCCUUCUGACCGACUCUUAACCGAGUCUUUCCUUCGGGACAGAAGAGACAGGUGGUGCAUGGUUGUCGUCAGCUCGUGUCGUGAGAUGUUGGGUUAAGUCCCGCAACGAGCGCAACCCUUAUCUUUAGUAGCCAGCAGUUCGGCUGGGCACUCUAGAGAGACUGCCAGGGAUAACCUGGAGGAAGGUGGGGAUGACGUCAAAUCAUCAUGCCCCUUAUGAUCUGGGCUACACACGUGCUACAAUGGUGACAACAAAGUGAAGCAGCCUCGUGAGAGUGAGCAAAUCACAGAAAAGUCAUCUCAGUUCGGAUUGUAGUCUGCAACUCGACUACAUGAAGCUGGAAUCGCUAGUAAUCGCGAAUCAGAAUGUCGCGGUGAAUACGUUCCCGGGUCUUGUACACACCGCCCGUCACACCAUGGGAGUUGGAUAUGCCCGAAGUCAGUGACCCAACCGUAAGGAGGGAGCUGCCGAAGGUGGAGCCGAUGACUGGGGUGAAGUCGUAACAAGGUAGCCGUAUCGGAAGGUGCGGCU
rnacentral:rRNA from 1 species